GCCGCCGUAGCUCAGCGGGAGAGCGCCCGGCUGAAGACCGGGCGGUCCGGGGUUCGAAUCCCCGCGGCGGC
rnacentral:tRNA from 1 species